CCCGCGGUAGCUCAGCUUGGUAGAGCUUCCGACCUGGGCUCCAAAAAACUGAGAGCCGAGGGGAGAUGCUGUAGAGAUCUUUGGCUCCUCAAAGUAGGCGCUGAUCCCAACCCAGCCUAUCAGGCUAACAGAAACCGGACUGUCGUCGGUUCAAAUCCGACCCGCGGGA
rnacentral:tRNA from 1 species